rnacentral:tRNA from 1 species
GGGGGCGUGGUGUAACGGCAGCAUUGACGGCUCCAGACCGUUAGACCCGGGUUCGAAUCCUGGCGUCCCCACCA